rfam:Beggiatoa sp. 4572_84 ex4572_84_scaffold_7018, whole genome shotgun sequence.
CCUGGGGCGUUGCCCCAGGCUAUAAUAAUUCGCCCCGUUGGGGCU